rnacentral:rRNA from 1 species
GGUUUCUUGUAAUUUUUAAGAAAUUUGACCUGCCCACUGAAAUAAUUUGAAGGGCCGCAGUAUUUUGACUGUGCAAAGGUAGCAUAAUCAUUAGUCUUUUAAUUAAAGGCUGGAAUGAAUGGUUGGACGAGAAAAAAUCUGUUUUAUAAAAAUAAAAUUGAAUUUAGAUUUUAAGUAAAAAGACUUAAAUAUUAUUAAGGGACGAGAAGACCCUAUAGAGUUUUAUAAAUGUAAUUGUUAAUUAGGUUAAUAAAAAAGUUUUAGUUAUUAUGGAGUUUAUUUAAUUGGGGUGAUUGGAAAAUAAAAUAAACUUUUCUUUAAAUUUAAUAUUAUGAGUAAUAAUAAGAUCCAUAUUUAGUGAUUAUAAGAUUAAAUUACCUUAGGGAUAACAGCAUAAUUUUUUUUAAGAGUUCCUAUCGAAAAAAGAGAUUGUGACCUCGAUGUUGGAUUAAGAUUAGUAUUAGGUGUAGAUGUUUAAUAACUAGGUCUGUUCGACCUUAGAAAUCUUACA